rnacentral:misc_RNA from 1 species
UGGUUCUGGCAUCGAUGAAGAACGCAGCGAAAUGCGAUAAGUAAUGCGAAUUGCAGAAUCCGUGAGUCAUCGAAUCUUUGAACGCACAUUGCGCCCUCUGGUAUUCCGGAGGGCAUGCCUGUUCGAGCGUCAUUAUCACCCCUCAAGCCCGGCUUGUUGUUGGACGUCGGCGGCGGCACACCCGCUCCCGCCCGUCUCAAAGGUAAUGACGGCGUCUGUGAGGACUCCUGUACACUGAGCUUUCGGGCACGUACUAGGCUAGAAAUCCAGACCCGGUCGCCGUCCCCCCGCGGGACAAAAACUUUUUCACAAGGUUGACCUCGGAUCAGGUAGGAAUACCCGCUGA